rnacentral:rRNA from 1 species
UACGGGGGGCGUAAGCGUUGUUCGGAUUUACUGGGCGUAAAGGGCGCGUAGGCGGUCGUGACAAGUCACUUGUGAAAUCUCCGGGCUUAACUCGGAACGGUCAAGUGAUACUGUCGGACUAGAGUACAGAAGGGGCAACUGGAAUUCUCGGUGUAGCGGUGAAAUGCGUAGAUAUCGAGAGGAACACCUGCGGCGAAGGCGGGUUGCUGGGCUGAUACUGACGCUGAGGCGCGAAAGCCAGGGGAGCGAACGGG